GACGAACGCUGGCGGCGUGCUUAACACAUGCAAGUCGAACGGAAAGGCGCUGCUUUUGUUGGGUGCUCGAUUGGCGAACGGGGGAGUAACACGUGAGUAACAUGCCCUUGACUUUGGGAUAACUUCAGGAAACUCGGGCGAAUACCGGAUAGGAGCUCCUGCUGCAUGGGGGGGGUUGGAAAGUUUCGGCGGUUGGGGAUGGACUCGCGGCUUAUCAGCUUGUUGGUGGGGUAGUGGCUUACCAAGGCUUUGACGGGUAGCCGGCCUGAGAGGGUGACCGGCCACAUUGGGACUGAGAUACGGACCAGACUCCUACGGGAGGCAGCAGUGGGGAAUAUUGCACAAUGGGCGGAAGCCUGAUGCAGCAACGCUGCGUGCGGGAUGACGGCCUUCGGGUUGUAAACCGAUUUCGCAUGUGACGAAGAGUGAGUGACGGUAAUGGGUAAAGAAGCACCGGCUAACUACGUG
rnacentral:rRNA from 1 species